GAUGAACGCUGGCGGCGUGCCUAAUACAUGCAAGUCGAGCGAACAGACGAGGUGCUUGUUCCACCUACGUGAGCGGCGGACGGGUGAGUAACACGUGGAUAACCUACCUUUGAGCCGGGGACAACUUUGGGAAACCGAUGCUAAUACCGCAUAAUAUAUUUAACCACAUGGUUUAAGAGUGAAAGAUGGUUUUGCAUCACCUUAUGAUGAGAUCCCCUUGGCUUAAGCUAGUUGGUAGGGUAACGGCCUACCAAGGCAACGUAGCGUAGCCGACCUGGGAGGGGGAUCGGCCACACGGGAACUAGAACACGGUCAAAACCCCUACGGAGGGCGGAGGAGGGGAAUCUCCGGCAAUGAGCGAAAGCCUGACGGAGCACCGCGGCGUGGGUGAGGAAGGUCUUCGGAUCGUAAAACUCGGUGAUAGGGGAAGAACAAGGGUGUAGUGAACAGUGCACCAAUUGACGGUAACUACUCAGAAAGCGACGGCUAACUACGUG
rnacentral:rRNA from 1 species